rnacentral:lncRNA from 1 species
GAGAUUGCUUUCACCCAGAGUGCUGAGAUCCACCCUUCUUUGGAAGAGGUUUACGUCUAAAGUGUUGUGUUUGCUCACGAGCGGUUUUAGGUCUUCAUUUUCCGCUAGGUUAUGUAACUUGACUUUACCCUUACUAGCACUCUCCUUUAAACUGACCCUAGUGUGACAUAAGUGAACUUUUGAGCUAGGAAAGAACAGUCCCAACCCCAACCCCACUCCCACUUGGGAAGAGAAGCUAAAGAAGGCUUGCUAGGAAACAAACUGCACUCAUUCUCCUUCUGGUCAUCGAGAACCCUAAUACUCU